CCUUAACGUCUCAAAACAAACAAACAAUAAAUAAGUAAGUGAAAGGUGACUUUAUGUCUGUGUGCGCAUGGUGGGUGGCUGGGUCAGGUUCUCAUGUAGCUCAGGCUUGCUUUGGACUUGUUAUGUAGUGUGGGUUGGUUUUGAAUUGCUUCCUCCCCUUCUCAAAUCUGGUCUCACAGGCGUGUAAAAGGGUGAUUCUUUCUUUUUAUCUUUUUUUUAUAAGUAAAUGUAAUUUUAUUUAUUUAUUAUUUAUUUUUAUUUUAUGUGCAUUGGUGUUUUGCCUGCAUGUAUGUCUAUGUGAGGCUGUCAAAUCACUUGGAGCUGGAUUGCAGACAGUUUUGAGCUGCCAUGACCUGGGAAUUGAAUCAGGUCUUCUGAGCAGUCAGUGCUCUUAACCUCUGAGCUAUCUCUCUAGCCCUAAAAUUUGCUUUUUGGCCCCCUUUUAUUAUUGUAUUUUAUGUACAUGUUUUGCCUACUUGUAUGUCUGUGCACCAUGUAUAUGCCUGGUGCCUGUGGAGGCCAGAAAAGGGCAUCUGAUCCCCUGGAACUGGAGUAACAGAUGGUUGUGAACCACCAUGUAGUUGCUGGGAAUUGAACCCUGGUCCUCUGAAAAAGCAGCCAGUGCUCUUAACCACUGAACAAUCACUCCAGCCCUAAAAGGGUGACUCUUUUUGAUUGUUUGUCUUUGAGACAGGAUCUCAUGAUGUAGCCCUGGCUGUCCUGGAACUGGCUAUGUGGACCCUGCUGGCCUUGAACUCACAAUGAUCCUCCUGCCUCUGCCUUCCUAGUGCUGAGAGUAAUGGUGUAUGCUAGCAUACCUGUCUGAAAGGGUAACUUUUAAAAAACAAAGUGAAGUACUUCUGAGUUUCAUUCUUCUCCUCCUCUUUUUCCUCCUCUUCUUCCUCCCCUUUCUUCCCUGAGCAGCCCUGGAAUCAGCUCUGUAGACCAGGCUGCCUCUGCUUCUCAAGUGCUCAGAUUAAAGGUGCGCACCACCAAUGCCUGGCUCUUCUCUACUUCCUAAAGUCCACCAGUCCCCAUCUUUCCUUCUUGUCUGCCCAACCUUCUUUGUUAGUUCUGGUUGGAUUUUGUCCACCGAGUCAAAGUUAUCACCUGAAAGAAGACAGCCAGGCAACAAAUCCAAGCAGAGAGACAGAGAGGAAGAAGACAGAGGUGAGGAGACGCCAGCAGCUGCUGGAGGAGGAAGAUGCCAGAGCAUUUCCGGGACAUACAUGUAGCAGCAGCAGCAGCAGCAGCAGCAGCAGCAGCAGCAGCAGCAGCAGCAGCAGCAGCAGCAGCAGCAGCAAGAAGAAGAAGAAGAAGAAGAAGAAGAAGAAGAAGAAGAAGAAGAAGAAGAAGAACAACAACAACAACAACAACAACAACUACUUAGGCUUUUCUCGACAAUGAGCAAUGAGACACAUCUGCUCCUGGCAGCACCAAUUACUUCAAGGGGAUGAUGGGCAUCAAAGAAGCAUCUUUUUUUUGUUGUUGUUGUUGUUUUUGUUUUUUGUUUUUUUUUUGUUUUUUCGAGACAGGGUUUCUCUGUGGUUUUGGAGCCUGUUCUGGAACUAGCUCUUGUAGACCAGGCUGGUCUCUUAAAGAAGCAUCUUAUGGAGCUUUCUUUCUUUCCUUCUUUCUUUCUUUUCCCUUUUUUUUGUUUUGUUUUUUUGAGACAGGGUUUCUCUGUAGCUUUGGAGCCUAUCCUGAAACUUACUCUGUAGACCAGGCUGGCCUCAAACUCAGAGAUCCAACUGUCUCUGCCUCCCAAGUGCUAGAAUUAAAGGUGUGUACCACCAUAUCCUGGCUUGGAGUUUGUUUUCAAUGUGGCAAGGCUAGCCAUUUGAGCAAGAAACUGCUCUUGCCUGGACUGCUUGACAAUAUGCUGUGUAAACUAGACAUGCAGGACCCACAGGAACAUGACUGCUGAACUUGCCAAAAGCAAGGCAGGACAGUCCUUCAGAUUUCCUGCUUUACUGAGAAAUCUGCCAGAUACUCUAGGCCUACAGGCGGAAGAUAGAUACUCCAGUGUUACAGAAGAACUUUGGGUGACUGUCCAGACAACCAGAUAUAGUGAUAUUUUUAUUUAUUUAUUUUUUUAUUAUUUAUGUUUUAAUAAAUAAAGCUUGCCUAAAGAUCUAGAGGUCAGGUAGAGGUGGCACACACUUUUAAUCCCAGGAUUUGGGAGACAGAGGCAGAUGGAUCUCUGUGAUGUAAAGGCUACUCUGGGUUACACAAGAUCAAUGCUGAAACAAAUCCAGAUGGUGGUGGCUCACACUUUUCAUUCUAGUACUAGGGAGUCACACCUUCAAUCCCAGAACUAGAGGGAAUAUAAAAUGGGAAGAGAAAGAGGUUCGGUCUGUUUAGUCUGCUUAGACUGCUUAAUCUGGUUAGUCACCUAGUCUUGGUAGAGGUAAGACUUCUCUAGUGGCUGACUGCUUUGCUUUUCUGAUUUCAAGUUGAACCCCAAUUUCUGUCUCUGGCUAGCUCAAAACACUUUAUCCAGAUGUAGCACUUUUAUCCAGAUGUCAGCAUACUGGCAUGCUCCAGUACUUGGGAGGUUCAGACAGAAGGAUGUGAGCUGCUGGCUCCCCCCAUCCAUAUGGCGAGACCCUGCCUCAACCAUCCCUCCCACCGAAACUCCCAAACAAAUAAAAACAAAAGUUUUGUGAAGAUACACCACAAAAACGACUCUAAUAUAAAGUUAGUGGGUUUUUUUAAUUUUAUUUAUUUAUUUACUUUUGGUCACGACCAUUGCCCAGCCGUUGUCACUACUUACCAUUUUCUUUUCGUGCAUGCUAGGCAAAGGCUCUACAGCUGAGCUACCUCCUGCCAGGGACAUGUUUAUUACCAGGAAGAGAAAACCUGUAUCCACUAACAGUCCUGCCAACCAGCCUGCAGGUUCCGAUCUCACAUCUUUACUUUAAUGUUUAUGCUAGGCAAGCACUUUCUUGGUGUGCUAUGUCCCCAGCCCUUGGGUUUUGAAUCAGGGUCUUACUAAGUAGGUAGGGCUGGCCUUUAACUCUAAAUCUUCCUGCUUCUACCUCCUGAGUGCUGGGAUUAAAGGUUUGAGCCAUUGUCUAACUCAAGAGUGCUUCCUCUUCCUUUUGCCCCUACCCAGCCCCCAUCUUCAGCUUCUUUUUCUUCAGUUUUAUAUCUGGUACUUGGGUUGGGUUAUUGUGCCUUAGAUGUCUCCAUAUAUAAAAUAGAUACUACGCCCAUGCCUAUUGUCCUGAGGAAUAGAUAAAUCAUAGGCAUAGAAUAUUACAGAUUACAUUCUGCGAUUAUCCAGACAUUAGAUAUUACCUCCUGGCCUCAAACUCACUACGUAAUUGAGAAUGACCUUGAAUGUCCGUGAUCUGGAUCCCACUACCUCCACCUCUGAAGUGCUGUGAUUAUAGGCUUGCACUGCUACACCUGGCUUUUAUUUUUACUUCCUGCUAUUUUAAAUACUUAGGUAUUGCUAUGUUGACCAGGCCACCAUUGAGCUUCUGGGUUUUAGCAAUACUAUGUGUCUAUAAUAUUGUAUAAUGUGUAUAGUGUGUCCACAGCCUUCUUAAUAAUUAAGCUACUAAGCCUGCUUUCCAGUUAUAUCUCCUUCCUCCCUCCCUC